AGUAUACUCUACUGACCUACCGUAACACAUCCAACAAACCACUGCUUUCCUUUGUGUGAUAACUGUGAUACAAAAUGUACAACAAUGCCUAUAUAUCGAAGACUAUGAACAUGACAAUGACAUAUAUCUAGAACACAAACAAAAACACGGCAGCUACAGAAAACAUUUUUAGCAGGAGAGGAAGUAAAUUAUAGUUUAUAUGGGUCACAAAAAUUAUACCCAAGACAGAAAUGACCAGAAAAACUUAGAAAGGAAUGAU
rnacentral:misc_RNA from 1 species